rnacentral:rRNA from 1 species
GGAAUAUUGCACAAUGGGGGAAACCCUGAUGCAGCGACGCCGCGUGAGUGAAGAAGUAUUUCGGUACGUAAAGCUCUAUCAGCAGGGAAGAAAGAAAGUCCUUUGGACUUUGGACGGUACCUGACCAAGAAGCCCCGGCUAACUACGUGCCAGCCGCCGCGGUAAUACGUAGGGGGCAAGCGUUAUCCGGAUUUACUGGGUGUAAAGGGGGCGCAGGCGGCGAUGCAAGCCAGGAGUGAAAGCCCGGGGCCCAACCCCGGGACUGCUCUUGGAACUGCGUGGCUGGAGUGCAGGAGGGGCAGGCGGAAUUCCUGGUGUAGCGGUGAAAUGCGUAGAUAUCAGGAGGAACACCGGUGGCGAAGGCGGCCUGCUGGACUGCAACUGACGUUGAGGCCCGAAAGCGUGGGGAGCAAACA